AUUGAACGCUGGCGGCAUGCCUUACACAUGCAAGUCGAACGGCAGCGCGGGCUUCGGCCUGGCGGCGAGUGGCGAACGGGUGAGUAAUGUAUCGGAACGUGCCCUAGAGUGGGGGAUAACUAGUCGAAAGAUUGGCUAAUACCGCAUACGAUCUAAGGAUGAAAGCGGGGGAUCGCAAGACCUCGUGCUCAUGGAGCGGCCGAUAUCUGAUUAGCUAGUUGGUGGGGUAAAGGCCUACCAAGGCGACGAUCAGUAGCUGGUCUGAGAGGACGAUCAGCCACACUGGGACUGAGACACGGACCAGACUCCUACGGGAGGCAGCAGUGGGGAAUUUUGGACAAUGGGCGAAAGCCUGAUGCAGCAAUGCCGCGUGUGUGAAGAAGGCCUUCGGGUUGUAAAGCACUUUUGUCCGGAAAGAAAUGGCUCUGGUUAAUACCUGGGGUCGAUGACGGUACCGGAAGAAUAAGGACCGGCUAACUACGUGCCAGCCGCCGCGGUAA
rnacentral:rRNA from 1 species